GAUGAACGCUGGCGGCGUGCCUAAUACAUGCAGGUCGAGCGAACAGACGAGGAGCUUGCUCCUCUGACGUUAGCGGCGGACGGGUGAGUAACACGUGGAUAACCUACCUAUAAGACUGGGAUAACUUCGGGAAACCGGAGCUAAUACCGGAUAAUAUAUUGAACCGCAUGGUUCAAUAGUGAAAGACGGUUUUGCUGUCACUUAUAGAUGGAUCCGCGCCGCAUUAGCUAGUUGGUAAGGUAACGGCUUACCAAGGCAACGAUGCGUAGCCGACCUGAGAGGGUGAUCGGCCACACUGGAACUGAGACACGGUCCAGACUCCUACGGGAGGCAGCAGUAGGGAAUCUUCCGUAAUGGGCGAAAGCCUGACGGAGCAACGCCGCGUGAGUGAUGAAGGUCUUCGGAUCGUAAAACUCUGUUAUUAGGGAAGAACAAAUGUGUAAGUAACUAUGCACGUCUUGACGGUACCUAAUCAGAAAGCCACGGCUAACUACGUG
rnacentral:rRNA from 1 species